rnacentral:rRNA from 1 species
AGGAUAAACGCUGGCGGCGUGCCUAACACAUGCAAGUCGAACGCGCUUUCGGGCUUCGGUGCGAGAGCGAGUGGCGGACGGGUGAGUAACACAUGGGUACCUACCUUGGAGUGAGGGAUACCGGCGAGAAAUCGCCGACAAUACCGCAUAGGCUUCUUCACAAGGGAAGCAAAGUGACGCGAGUCACGCUGUGAGAUGGGCCUGUGGCCGAUUAGCUAGUUGGGGGGGUAACGGCUUCCCAAGGCGACGAUCGGUAGCUGGUCUGAGAGGACGAUCAGCCACACUGGGAUUGAGAACGGCCCAGACUCCUACGGGGGCAGCAGUGAGGAAUUUUCCGCAAUGGAGGCAACUCUGACGGAGCAACGCCGCGUGCAGGAGGAAGGUUUUCGGAUCGUAAACUGCUUUUCGUCGGGGACGAGCAAGGACGGUACCCGAGGAAGAAGCCCCGGCUAACUACGUGCCAGCAGCCGC